rnacentral:rRNA from 1 species
CCUACGGGUGGCAGCAGUGGGGAAUAUUGCGCAAUGGGCGAAAGCCUGACGCAGCGACGCCGCGUGAGGGAUGAAGGUCUUCGGAUCGUAAACCUCUGUCAGCAGGGAAGAACGGUCACUGUGCCAAUCAGCAGUGAAUUGACGGUACCUGCAAAGGAAGCACCGGCUAACUCCGUGCCAGCAGCCGCGGUAAUACGGAGGGUGCGAGCGUUCAUCGGAAUUACUGGGCGUAAAGCGCUCGUAGGCGGUAGGUCAAGUCAAGGGUGAAAGCCCCGCGCUCAACGUGGGAACUGCCUUUGAAACUGGCAAACUGGAGUGUGUGAGAGGAUAGUGGAAUUCCAGGUGUAGGAGUGAAAUCCGUAGAUAUCUGGAGGAACAUCAGUGGCGAAGGCGACUAUCUGGCACAUAACUGACGCUGAGGAGCGAAAGCGUGGGUAGCAAACAGGAUUAGAUACCCGAGUAGUC